GACGAACGCUGGCGGCGUGCUUAACACAUGCAAGUCGAACGGAAAGGCCCUGCUUUUGUGGGGUGCUCGAGUGGCGAACGGGUGAGUAACACGUGAGUAACCUGCCCUUGACUUUGGGAUAACUUCAGGAAACUGGGGCUAAUACCGGAUAGGAGCUCCUGCUGCAUGGUGGGGGUUGGAAAGUUUCGGCGGUUGGGGAUGGACUCGCGGCUUAUCAGCUUGUUGGUGGGGUAGUGGCUUACCAAGGCUUUGACGGGUAGCCGGCCUGGGAGGGUGACCGGCCACAUUGGGCCUGAGAUACGGACCAGACUCCUACGGGAGGCAGCAGUGGAGAAUAUUGCACAAUGGGCGGAAGCCUGAUGCAGCAACGCCGCGUGCGGGAUGCCGGCCUUCGGGUUGUAAACCGCUUUCGCCUGUGACGAAGCGUGAGUGACGGUAAUGGGUAAAGAAGCACCGGCUAACUACGUG
rnacentral:rRNA from 1 species